rnacentral:rRNA from 1 species
UACGAAGGGGGCUAGCGUUGCUCGGAAUCACUGGGCGUAAAGCGCACGUAGGCGGAUCUUUAAGUCAGGGGUGAAAGUCCUGGAGCUCAACUCCAGAACUGCCUUUGAUACUGGGGAUCUCGAGUCCGGAAGAGGUGAGUGGAACUCCGAGUGUAGAGGUGAAAUUUGUAGAUAUUCGGAAGAACACCAGUGGCGAAGGCGGCUCACUGGUCCGGUACUGACGCUGAGGUGCGAAAGCGUGGGGAGCAAACAGGGAUUAAGAAACCCUGGUACGU